AGCGGAGACCGACCCCUCCGCCAGCCUGUUAGAGGAGGAGGAGGAGGAGGAAGAUCUUCACACAAGGAAAUCUAAUGAGGCAACCGGUGAAAGAAAUCACUCUGACUGGAUGUUCAGCUAAGCGAGUCAGUGCAUGAGAAGAAGAAUGGAACUGAGGAAAGCACUUCGGCGCCAUCAGUAGUCUUUGUGGUGUGUUCAGGUGCAGCUUUUUGACCCAGACACAGGCAACCUGGGACAACAUCGACAGAGGCAGACGAGCUGUUUGAUGUCGGUUUGAUUGUUCCACAUGACUGGAGUGUUUAAUGUCAACCCCCAGCUCUGUUUUUACAGUACUCUGAGGUCAUGAAUUCAGUUAAUAUAUCUGAAACAGGUCCGCAGAGAGUUUGCCCAGAAUAGCUUCAUAAAUAACAAACCAAUGACUCAUGAGCAGAAAUAACCAAUGAGCACAGUGAAGGAUGAAGAGUAAUGUGAUUAUGAAUAUGUAAUCUUCAAUAGUUGUGUAUUUUAUGAGUACUCUGUUAAUCUGGCCCAUCUCUCAUUUGUGUGUUGUGUCAGUUAUGCGCAGGUGUGGUGAGGACUGAAGUUUUUUAUUUAGGGUGAGUCUCUCUCUCUCCCCCCUUUUGUCUCCUCUUUUGAGAUGUGGGGUGUGGAGCUCGGCAUCACAGGCCUGUGCUCGUACCUCUCUAAGGAAGUUCAUUAAACUUGAUUUACAUUUGAGAUGCCAAUCACACAGAUACGUUAGCUGAAUAAGGACUGUCCCAGCGAACGGUGGCUUUUCUGCAAACCAAAGAUAUGAAAGAGCUUCUCGUUGGAAUACUAAAGCACUGUUGUUGUGCUAAAAUGGGUGCUGCCUACCUGACAAGAUACCAGACUCUGAAUUACACAUAACUGCACAUUCAGCCUCGUAAAUUCAGUAUGAGCAGCAUGGAGUUCUGCUUGAAGUGUUCAGAAAUUAAUCAAACGGAGACUCAAGGAAAAGCUGCAGGACCACAAACACAAACUUCACACAAACUCACCUCAGGCCAAAUACUGUUUUCACUGGUAACUGGUCUGUUAGACUCCCUCAGCAGUCUGGUUGAGCUGGUUUCAUGCUGGUGUGGGCCUGUUGGUCAGCAGUCUGUUUUUGACUUUACAAACAUCUGGUUUGUACUCUUGUUUGUAGAUUAAGUACGACUUUAAACUAACAAAAUGGAGUCCUGAAGAAGACGUCUGUAGGUGACAUCAUGUGUGUCUGUGCUGGGACAUGCAGCCGCCAGAACUUGUUUAGACCAAUUCAUUAUUCACCCUACAAAUACACUAAAAACUAAAACAGUUUGAGAAAUGUAUAAGAUUGCUUCUCCUCAUAACCAUAUGUUCUAUGCUUUAUUUUUUACAUUUGUGACAAUGUUUUUUUUUCAACUGUUUUAAGUGGGUUCUGGAUCUUAAGUUGCGAUUUUUCUCACAUUAACGACAAGAAGUGAUGUGUGAUGUAAGAAAAUGUAACUAAAACCACUUUAUAACCUGCUCACUCUAACACCUAGGCUCGCACAACAACUCGCACAGGCGCCCACAAAUGCAAACCACAUACGAACACAUCAGUACACAUUCAGGAACCAAAACCAACCUUUCAGUAGUCAGUGCAUAAAGUUGGUCAGCUAUCUAUUUGUAUAUUGUUAUUGUUUAUUCUUACUUUAUUCUAUGUUUACACUGUUUGCACUGUGGAGUUUGGCUUUUAAUCUCAUUGUACAUCAGUAUAGUGACAAUAAAAGGCAUUCUAUUACA